rnacentral:rRNA from 1 species
AUGAUGGAUGUAACAUCGACAUCAAUGGAGGUCCAACACAAUAUGGACUUUGCAAUUUUGUAUGAAGAGUCGUCACUGCAUAGAGAAGCUGAAGAUCUAGUGGAGCAGCUAAGUAUCCCAUUACCAAAUUCAGAAAAUCUAUGUUUCUCCCAUAGUUUUGCACAUAAUGGCUGGAUUCAACUUAAAGCUUGCUUGUGGAAACAAAACAUAACUUACUGGAGAAGUCCUCAGUAUAACUUGAGGCACAUUAUGAUGACUGUCAUAUCUGCCCUGAUCUACGGAGUAUUGUUCUGGAAGCAUGCAAAAGUAUUAAACAACCAGCAGGACAUGCUCAGUGUUUUUGGUGCAAUGUAUUUGGGUUUCACAACCAUAGGCGCCUUCAUAACCUAG